rnacentral:rRNA from 1 species
AUUGAACGCUGGCGGCAGGCCUAACACAUGCAAGUCGAACGAGUGGCGGACGGGUGAGUAAUGUCUGGGAAACUGCCUGAUGGAGGGGGAUAACUACUGGAAACGGUAGCUAAUACCGCAUACCAUCAGAUGUGCCCAGAUGGGAUUAGCUAGUUGGUGGGGUAACGGCUCACCAAGGCGACGAUCCCUAGCUGGUCUGAGAGGAUGACCAGCAACGCUGGAACUGAGACACGGUCCAGACCCCUACGGGAGGCAGCAGGGGGGAAUAUGGCACAAUGGGCGCAAGCCUGAUGCAGCCAUGCCGCGUGUAUGAAGAAGGCCGUCGGGUUGUAAAGUACUGUCAGCGGGGAGGCGUUACCCGCAGAAGAAGCACCGGCUAACUCCGUGCCAGCCGCCGCGUAAUUC